GCCUUCGGGCAUUUGGUCAUAGUAACGAUACAGAGAAGAUUAGCAUGGCCCCUGCACUAAGGAUGACACGCUCAAUCAAAGAGAAGCUACCAGUUUUUUUUUGG
rnacentral:snRNA from 1 species